rnacentral:rRNA from 1 species
GAUGAACGCUGGCGGCGUGCCUAAAACAUGCAAGUCGUGCGGCAGCGGGCCUUCGGGUGCCGGCGAGCGGCGGACGGGUGAGUAACGCGUAGGAACGUACCCCAAAGUGAGGGAUAAGCCCCGGAAACGGAGUCUAAUACCGCAUAUGCUCUUAGGAGUAAAGGAGUAAUCCGCUUUGGGAGCGGCCUGCGUCCGAUUAGUUUGUUGGUGAGGUAAUGGCUUACCAAGACGAUGAUCGGUAGCUGGUUUGAGAGGAUGAUCAGCCACACUGGGACUGAGACACGGCCCAGACUCCUACGGGAGGCAGCAGUUAGGAAUUUUCCACAAUGGGGGCAACCCUGAUGGAGCAACGCCGCGUGCAGGAAGACGGCCUUCGGGUUGUAAACUGCUUUUAAAAGUGAAGAUUAUGACGGUAACUUUAGAAUAAGGAUCGGCUAACUCCGUGCCAGCAGCCGCAGUAA